rnacentral:rRNA from 1 species
AACGAACGCUGGCGGCGUGCCUAACACAUGCAAGUCGAACGAGAAAGCGGGCUUCGGCCCGUUAGUAAAGUGGCAGACGGGUGAGUAACACGUGGGUAACCUGCCUGGAGGUGGGGGAUAACUCCCGGAAACGGGUGCUAAUACCGCAUGAUAUCUCGGGGGCUUCGGCUCGCGAGAUCAAAGCUAGCCUCUACUCGUAAGCUAGCGCCACCGGAGGGGCCCGCGGCCCAUUAGCUUGUUGGUGAGGUAACGGCUCACCAAGGCUACGAUGGGUAGCCGGCCUGAGAGGGCGAUCGGCCACACUGGAACUGAGACACGGUCCAGACUCCUACGGGAGGCAGCAGUGAGGAAUAUUGCGCAAUGGGGGAAACCCUGACGCAGCGACGCCGCGUGGAGGACGAAGGCCUUCGGGUCGUAAAGCGCUUUUCUGAGGGAAGAGCAAGGACGGUACCUCAGGAAUAAGUCUCGGCUAACUAUGUG